UUCAUCUCUUUUUCAAACAGCGCUGCUCGCCUCCUUUGUUUUUCUCUUUUUUUAACACUCAAGAACUUAGCACUCCAAAUCAUACGUUCCUAGCCAUUUUUGGAUCAAACACUAGAAAAAUGAUCUUCACUCGUUCAUGCUUAAAACCUCAUUUUGAUCUUCGAAAGCGCCAAAUUUUUAAAUAAAUCUUAUUUUUUUCAAGAUCAAACCAAAAAUAUCAUCAUGAAACUCAACCAUAUUCUUCAUUUAAAAUUUCUUUGAUUCAAAACAAAACCCUAAAUCCAACUCUCUUCUAUUUUUCAAGAUUUAAAACAAAAAGUCCUACCCUCUCCAUCUCCGAUAAAAAUCGAGCACCCAUGGACACCAAAAUCAACCAAAAAAAUACACCGAUUUCCAGCCCCUAAACAUAAAAAACGUUCAAAUCGAAACAAAUAAACAUGAGAGAUUCACCUUCUGUUCAAACUUCUGACAAUGGUGACGUACGCGGCGACGAACGGCGGGCCUUACGAUGGUAACAAACUCCAACAGCUACGAAUCGCGUCGGAUCCUCCAUCGGAAGAACAUGCGCCGGUGACAGAAGUGCAACAGUCUGGAGAAUGCUUCUGGAAUGUCUUCUCUAAGCCCUUUGAUCAAUAUUCGAUCAACGGUCCUAAUUCCAAAUCUCAAUAGCCACUGACGUGGUAUUAUUAAUUACUUUCCUAAAAAAUUGGUCCACCAUUAAUUGCAUGUCCCCUUCAAAAUUCAAGAGUCAAACUUUUCCCUCUCAAGGAAGGCAACCGGCGGCACUUAUUAUGAGACUAGAUUUUUCUUUUUCUUUUUUAUCUAUUUAUUUAAUAAAAUGUACAUGAGCAAAAAUAUGGGCCUUGAAAAAAUGUAAUGUGCUAAUAUAUUUAAUAAAAUGUGCUAUUUUAUUUUGGAUUAUUUUUA